GAUGAACGCUGGCGGCGUGCCUAAUACAUGCCAGUCGAGCGAACAGAUGAGGAGCUUGCUCCUCUGACGUUAGCGGCGGACAGGUGAGUAACACGUGGAUAACCUACCUAUAAGACUGGGAUAACUUCGGGAAACCGGAGCUAAUACCGGAUAAUAUAUUGAACCGCAUGGUUCAAUAGUGAAAGACGGUUUUGCUGUCACUUAUAGAUGGAUCCGCGCCGCAUUAGCUAGUUGGUAAGGUAACGGCUUACCAAGGCAACGAUGCGUAGCCGACCUGAGAGGGUGAUCGGCCACACUGGAACUGAGACACGGUCCAGACUCCUACGGGAGGCAGCAGUAGGGAAUCUUCCGCAAUGGGCGAAAGCCUGACGGAGCAACGCCGCGUGAGUGAUGAAGGUCUUCGGAUCGUAAAACUCUGUUAUUAGGGAAGAACAAAUGUGUAAGUAACUAUGCACGUCUUGACGGUACCUAAUCAGAAAGCCACGGCUAACUACGUG
rnacentral:rRNA from 1 species